GCAGACACAUUCCAGCCAAUCAGCAGCAGACCCUCCCUCCCAGACCCUCCCACCUCCCGGACAGCAUCCAUUGUGAAGCUGCAUUCUUAGUGAGCUGUCCAGGAGGUGGGAGGGUCUGGGAGGGAGGGUCUGCUGCUGAUUGGCUGGAAUGUGUCU
rnacentral:miRNA from 1 species